CAGAUAUUAGUUUAUAUAAAAUAUUAAUUUUGGAGAUUAAUGAUAAAUGCUUAUAUUUAUAUCUGA
rnacentral:tRNA from 1 species